CUGACCUCAAAUCAGGUAGGACUACCCG
rnacentral:rRNA from 1 species